rnacentral:rRNA from 1 species
GGCGAUCAGAUACCGCCCUAGUUCUGACCGUAAACGAUGCCAACUAGCGAUCCGCCGGCGGAUUCAUUCGCCCUGGUGGGGAGCUUCCCGGAAACGAAAGUCUUCCGGUUCCGGGGGAAGUAUGGUUGCAAAGCUGAAACCUAAAGGAAUUGACGGAAGGGCACCACCAGGAGUGGAGCCUGCGGCUUAAUUUGACUCAACACGGGGAAACUCACCCGGCCCGGACACCGUAAGGAUUGACAGAUUGAUAGCUUUUUCAUGAUUCGGUGGAUGGUGGUGCAUGGCCGUUCUUAGUUCGUGGAGCGAUUUGUCUGGUUUAUUCCGAUAACGAGCGAGACUCUGGCCUACUAAAUAGUUGGCACAUUGCCACUGUGUGCCCAACUUCUUAGAGGGAUUUUCGGUGUUCAGCCGCACGAAAUUGAGCAAUAACAGGUCUGUGAUGCCCUUAGAUGUCCGGGGCUGCACGCGCGCUACACUGGCAAAAUCAGCGUGCUUGUCCUCCCCCAAAAGGGGUUGGUAAACCGAUGAAAAUUUGCCGUGAUUGGGAUCGGACAUUGCAAUUAUUGUCCGUGAACGAGGAAUCCCUUGUAAGGGCGAGUCAUCAACUCGUCCUGAAUACGUCCCUGCCCUUGUA